AUCCAGAAAGUACCUGAGUUCCUGGGAAGUAGGUCUCUUUCUGGUGGGAUGAAAAUUCCCAUGUCCUUCUCACUCAAGAUCCUAAAUAUUUUAAAAAGAUGAAGUGGGAGUGAACCUGGCCCUAAUUGAAUUGGCAAAUGUGAAGGGAGGGUGUCAUGUGUGUGUGUGUGUGUGUCUGUUUGGGUGGGUUCACAAUCCCAUUGAAAUGUGUAUGGGUAUUUGUGUGUGGAGGUUUGUAUAGAUGUGUGUGAGCAUAUACAAGCAUGUACGUGUGUUUGUAUGUAUAUGUGUACCUGUGUGUGUUUGAGCAUUGCUCUGAUGUCGUAGACUCUAAGUCUAAAGUUCUCUUUAAGAGCAGACACAGAAUUAAAAAGAGAGAUGGCUAAUGUCCAGGAAAAAGACAAGAGCCCCGAAUAAGGGUCCUUGCCCCGUAUUUAUUCAGAUCAGAAGGCUUGCAAACGUGAUGGGCAUGCACAAAGAGACAAAAUAAACUAGGAACAUUAACUUGUGGAUGUGAGGGAGGGAAAGGGGAUUUUGAAGAUAUACAGUGUUUGGGGUUUGGGUCAAUAUAAAACAAAUUCCAGGCGCCGGGCAGAUGGGUAGAUGGUUGUUAAGAGCAGACAGGAGGUGCCGUUCCUAUUUAUCUUUGCCAGCCUAGGGGAUGAGACAGACAGGGGGAAUAACCUCAGGGUUGACAAGACUCCUAUUCUUUUGUUAACCAUCUCUGCUCUGGGCUGCUUUGCCUGCAGCUCUGUGGUCCGAAGUCCAGUUCACCAAUUUACCUGCCCUGGCCCUAUUUUCCUAUGAAAGCAGCUUUCUGCUAUAGUACUAAACUUGGGGUGCUUUCACCCUGAAUAUCUAAUCUUGUUAUUCCUAUGUAUUGGGCACCUUUGUGCUGAUUCUAUUUCAGGCCUUGCCUCUAUUUUGGGGGGUUCAGCACCCCCUCCCUAUUUUGGGGUGCCUUUGCACCUCCCUAUUCUUGGCACCUUUGUGCCUCCCUAUUCUUGGAGUGCCAAUCUGGUUACCCAAACUUGGGUGUGAGCAUUUUAUGACUUUGUGUUUCUUUGUGCUUUGUUAACCCAUUGGUGUAGGCCCGGGGGAGUCCUAAGCUUAUCCCCCACACUCUGAGAAUUCUUCACACUCUUGUGUCCACCCUGGCCAUUUCAUGGUUGCCUUACCCCCACCCUAUGGGUUAGAAGUGGCAGAACAGCUUUCCAUCUGCAGCACAUGAGAGGGGCUCAGGGUGAUGAGUGAUGGGGAGAACUGGUACUUGUCAUAGUAGGAAGAAGAAAACAGGAGCUAAAUUGGUGGGACUCUUACUUCCUGGGUUGUACUUAAUAAAAGUGUCACACACUGUUUUAAGGGAUGUCAUGAAUUGAAUAAUUUAAAACCUCCUAAUAGCCCUACAAGAUGGGGAAAGUUAUCAACCCCAUUUUAUAGGCAAGGAAAGCGAGGGCACUCAGAGGUUGAGUGACUCAGUUGGCUGAGCCAUGAUUCUACAAAAUGGUCAGGCUGCUGAGCCCAAGUGCUGUUUUUGUUUUUUUGUUUUUUGUUUUUGGCUUCUGCACACUGUUCAUCCGCCUCAUUAAGGGUCACCUUACCAGCCUCAUUCUGUGGUUCUGCUAGCUUCUUCUCUAGCACUGAGUCUUAUCGGGAGUAUGUGUUUUUCACUGUACCUACUGAUAAGUCCAUGGGGUUUGAAGUGACAGGAGAGUUGGUUCUACAUUAGCUGAUGGAGUGUGUUUGCUGGAGGUGGCAGGAAUGGAGGGUUACAUCUAGGCUGUAGGCAAUCAGUGGUGUCUGCAUCUGAGCUGUGAGGUGUGCUGUCCACAAUCCUGAGGGGGGAAGACCAGCCAUGGGAGGGCAGAGUUUCUCCAUCACUGUUUUAUUCACAGAUCGAAAGUACAGCCCUGUUUGAAAGUACAGCCCUCUGAGAGACACUGGCAUGAUCACUCAUGUCCUUCCAAUCCCUGCUGCCCUUAACUUCUCUGUUUCUAAGUGACUCUCUGGUAAUACCUGCUCUCCAAGGUGAGAGGUGAGGCAAAGUCUAGCCUCACCCCUGCUCAUGGCACUUCCUCCCACCCUGCCUACUGCUCCCUCCUGGGGCCUCCUCAAUGGAGUGAGAGGAAAGAACUUGACGUUCAUGUUGUAAAGAGAAAGGAUGUCUGUCUUCAAGAAAGGGAAGAGCUACCUUAGGGGGAGAACGGAGUUAUUCCUUGUGGGCUGGUGGGCUGGGGGCCUCAGUGUCUUGCUGGAUGUAGGCGGGAUGCUGACCUCAGUUUCUGUCUUUCCAACAUAGCUGCUUGCCUCAGCAAAGUUUGCAAGUUGAGAAGACAGUAGAGAGUCAGCUGGCAAGCUGGAAGUCAUGAUCCAAUUUUCAGAUCCAGCAUCACCACUGCCACAUCUUAUUGGUUAGAAGAUGAUUCCAGGUCUUGCCCACACAAAUUGGGAGGAGAUUCCACAAGGCCAUGUGGACCAGGAGGUGGAGACCAUUGGGCCUUAUUAUAAUCUGUAUGGGGAUGUUCCAGGUGACAGAUGACAGAAAUGGAGGGUAGCACAGUCUCUGAACUGGAUGUGUUCAUACACGGGUUGCACAACCUUUUUUUUUUUUUUUUUU
rnacentral:lncRNA from 1 species